AUGAAUGCUGGCUGUAUGGAUAAGGCAUGCAAGUCGAACGGUCCGCAAGGACAGUGGCAGACGAGGUAGUAACACGUAGGUACGUACUCCCAAGUCCGGCAUAGCCAACCGAAAGGUUGGGUAAUACCGGAUGGUCCCGUGAGGGUAAAGAUUUAUCGCUUGGGAAGCGGCCUGCGUAGUAUCAGCUUGUUGGUAAGGUAACGGCUUACCAAGGCUACGACGCUUAGGGGAGCUGAGAGGCUGACCCCCACCGAUGGGACUGAGACACGGCCCAUACUCCUACGGGAGGCCGCAGUCGAGAAUCUUCCGCAAUGGACGAAAGUCUGACGGAGCGAUACAGCGUGGUGGACGAAGUGCUUCGGCACGUAAACACCUUUUAUGUGGGACGAAAUCAUUGACGGUACCACAUGAAUAAGGGGCUCCUAACUCUGU
rnacentral:rRNA from 1 species